UACUAGAGUAGCACUCGCAUAUCAAUAAGCGGAGGAAAAGAAACUAACAAGGAUUCCCCUAGUAACGGCGAGUGAAGCGGGAAGAGCUCAAAUUUGAAAUCUUAAAGGGUUUCCCUUUACGAAUUGUAGUUUAAAAAAGUGUUUUCUGUUGAGGUUUUGGUAAAAGUUCUUUGGAAUAGGACAUCAUAGAGGGUGAGAAUCCCGUAUUUGACCUUUACUUUCAACUUUGUGAUACACUUUCAAAGAGUCGGAUUGUUUGGGAAUGCAGUCCAAAAUGGGUGGUAAAUUUCAUCUAAAGCCAAAUAUUGGCGAGAGACCGAUAGCGAACAAGUACCGUGAGGGAAAGAUGAAAAGAACUUUGAAAAGAGAGUUAAACAGUACGUGAAAUUGUCAAAAGGGAAGCGUUUGACACCAGUGUUGUUUUUCUGAAAAUCAAUUAAAGAACUGUUUAUGCUAAGUUGUUUAGACUUUAUCAGCUAUCUGUUUAGUUUUGAGCUUUUCUUUAAUGCACUUUUCAGUUAACAAGUCAACAUCAAUUUCUUUUGCUGUAAAAAAGCUUGAGGAAGGUGGCUUGAGAUUCGUCUUAAGUGUUUAUAGCCUCUUGCCUAUGCAGUCGGAGAGAUUGAGGUCUGCAGCGUAGAUCCUUCGGGGCUAAAUGCAUUUGUGCUAAGUUAUAGCAUUUUAUAGACAACUUGUUGACUAUGAUUUGUCUUGUAGCUUACUCGCUUAUGUUAUUUUACCUACGCUUAGGAUGUUGAGCGCAUGUCUCUCUCU
rnacentral:rRNA from 1 species